rnacentral:rRNA from 1 species
GGAGUUAGCCGGUGCUUCUUCUGCGAGUAACGUCACAGCUAGCAGGUAUUAACUACUAACCUUUCCUCCUCGCUGAAAGUGCUUUACAACCCGAAGGCCUUCUUCACACACGCGGCAUGGCUGCAUCAGGGUUUCCCCCAUUGUGCAAUAUUCCCCACUGCUGCCUCCCGUAGGAGUCUGGGCCGUGUCUCAGUCCCAGUGUGGCUGAUCAUCCUCUCAGACCAGCUAGGGAUCGUUGCCUAGGUGAGCCAUUACCUCACCUACUAGCUAAUCCCACCUGGGCUUAUCCAUCAGCGCAAGGACCGAAGUUCCCCUGCUUUCCCCCGUAGGGCGUAUGCGGUAUUAGCAGUCGUUUCCAACUGUUAUCCCCACAAAUGGGCAAAUUCCCAGGCAUUACUCACCCGUCCGCCGCUCGUCAUCUUCAAAGCAAGCUUUUGAAAUGUUACCGCUCGACUUGCAUGUGUUAGGCCUGCCGCCAGCGUUCAAUCUGAGCCAUGAUCAAACUCUGA